GGGAAACGUUUCAUCCAACAUGCAGCCCUCUGUCCCCACAGAGCAGAAUGGCUUCCCGAUCGCUUUGUGAUGACACAGGAGUCAACUCAUCCUAUCGACACCUGACACCCGCAAGGUGCAACGACCCCAGACGGAACUUGCGGAGACGACUAGGGUAACCAAGCUACUGCCUC